rnacentral:rRNA from 1 species
AGCGAACGCUGGCGGCAGGCCUAACACAUGCAAGUCGAACGAACCCUUCGGGGUUAGUGGCGGACGGGUGAGUAACACGUGGGAACGUGCCUUUAGGUUCGGAAUAACUCAGGGAAACUUGUGCUAAUACCGAAUGUGCCCUUCGGGGGAAAGAUUUAUCGCCUUUAGAGCGGCCCGCGUCUGAUUAGCUAGUUGGUGAGGUAAUGGCUCACCAAGGCUACGAUCAGUAGCUGGUCUGAGAGGAUGACCAGCCACAUUGGGACUGAGACACGGCCCAAACUCCUACGGGAGGCAGCAGUGGGGAAUCUUGCGCAAUGGGCGAAAGCCUGACGCAGCCAUGCCGCGUGGAUGAUGAAGGUCUUAGGACUGUAAAAUCCUUUCACCGGUGAAGAUAAUGACUGUAGCCGGAGAAGAAGCCCCGGCUAACUUCGUGCCAGCAGCCGCUGUAACAC